rnacentral:rRNA from 2 species
GGAAUUUUCCGCAAUGGGCGAAAGCCUGACGGAGCGACGCCGCGUGAUUGAUGAAGUCCUUAGGGACGUAAAGAUCUUUUAUGAGGGAAGAAGUCAUUGACGGUACCUCAUGAAUAAGGGGCUCCCAAUUCUGUGCCAGCAGGAGCGGUAAUACAGAAGCCCCGAGCAUUACCCGGAUUUACUGGGCGUAAAGGGUGUGUAGGCGGUCAUAUUAGUCUCUCGUUAAAUCAUCGGGCUCAACCCGAUAACCGCGAGAGAAACGGUAUGACUCGAGGGUGUGAGAGGUGUACGGAACUCAUGGUGUAGGGGUGAGAUCCGUUGAUAUCAUGGGGAACACCGAAUGCGUAGGCAGUACACUAGCGCACUUCUGACGCUGAGACACGAAAGCGUGGGUAGCGAAAGGGAUUAGAUACCCCUGUAGUC